GUUGUUUGUUUUCUUGUUUUUUUUUUUGUUUUUCUUUUUGCUUU
rnacentral:ribozyme from 15 species